GCGGGCGUAGCUCAGUUGGCAGAGCACCUGAAUGUGGCUCAGGCGGUCGCGGGUUCAAAUCCCGUCGCUCGCCCCA
rnacentral:tRNA from 1 species